AAAUAUGCCUCAUGGGAAGAACAGGAAUAUGGAUAAUGUCAAAAAACAAUUUCUACUUGGGUUGUGAGUCAAUGAAUGGGGGAAAGUUUUUCUCCCUAAUGGAUUUUGCCAUAUUAACAUCAAAAUCAAUUGUGACUCUACUGGCUGUCGAGGACGUGUGAACGGCACACACAUCUGCUGUGGUGAAAGCCCUCCCUGUGACCUCGGGGUGGGACCAUGUGCUUUCCCAAAUCCUUGAGCUCAGCAUUGGAGGACAAGGUGGGAUGGAAUACGACCGCUACCACACGACAUGUCACAAAAGCCGGUCCGGAAGGAAGUUCCUCAGAGUGGCACGUUCCCACUCCGCAGUUGAGACUGAUUUCAGAAAAUGCACUCUGAUUGCUCUGUGAUUUUUCUGUCUCCAUGCCAUGAAUGGCUAGAGAGAAUGGAGUUAACUGGGAAACUGGGACACAGCAGACUUUUGCUUUUAAAACCUCCUUUUUCUGUUCAUUCAGCUGCCCCGUGUUCUGUGCCCUUUCCAGAGCCUGUGGCCUACAAUGACCUGGUGCAUCUCACCCACAGGGUGCAUGUGCCCAGACAUAAACCUGAGAUGGGCCAGCCUGGUUCUUAAGCUUCAGGAUGGAAACACGGGCCUCCCACCUACCCCUGCCCACCGGGGCGUCCGCCUUGGAUAGGAAACGGCCAAACUACCACCCACACGGGCAUGGUCAUCAUGGCAACAUCGUACGUAUGGAGGGUCCUGGCUCUUUGGUUGAUUAAAUCCUUGGGCAUUUUAUUUUCAAACUCCGCUUGUUCUCCACCGAACAGACCUGGACUAAUGGGAUGGGAGCCUCCUCUGUUUCCAUACACCCUUGCACUGGCCCCCGUUUACAUGCUUAUCAGAAUGUAUUGGCCAUUUUUGUUUCAUUCCUCACCUUCUUCCAGCAGCCCUCACCCUCCACCCCCUCCUACCCCGACAUACACACAAAAGGGGAAGGAACCUUUUCAAUCCACCUUUUAAUUUCAGAGCCCAGCUCAGCCUGGGAUGGAGCUCUCUGGUUGUCCUGCAGUGAGCAGAGGUGAAAGUCACACUGGCCUCAGACCGUGCUCUGCAGGGACCAAUUCUCUGUCCCAAAGCCGGGGCUUCCAAGCGCUGGAUUUGACUUCCUCACAUCACAUUCCUUCUUGAACCUAUUCUGUACCCCACUCUUCCGUUAAGGUUGCCAGUGAGAACCUUCUUGGUUCUCAUCUUUUGGCCUUUCAU
rnacentral:lncRNA from 1 species